AUUGAACGCUGGCGGCAUGCUUUACACAUGCAAGUCGAGCGGCAGCGCGGGGGCAACCCUGGCGGCGAGCGGCGAACGGGUGAGUAAUGCAUCGGAACGUGUCCCGUAGUGGGGGAUAACGCCGGGAAACCGGCGCUAAUACCGCAUAUGCUCUACGGAGGAAAGGGGGGGACCCGCAAGGGCCUCCCGCUAUGGGAGCGGCCGAUGUCCGAUUAGCUUGGUGGUGAGGUAAAGGCUGACCAAGGCGACGAUCGGUAGCUGGUCUGAGAGGAUGAUCAGCCACGCUGGGACUGGGACACGGCCCAGACUCAUACGGGAGGCAGCAGUGGGGAAUUUUGGACAAUGGGGGCAACCCUGAUCCAGCCAUGCCGCGUGCGGGAAGAAGGCCUUCGGGUUGUAAACCGCUUUUGUCCGGAAAGAAAAGGCAUUCCCUAAUACGGGGUGUUCUUGACGGUACCGGAAGAAUAAGCACCGGCUAACUACGUGCCAGCCGCCGCCGUAA
rnacentral:rRNA from 1 species